UACGUAGGGGGCGAGCGUUACCCGGAUUUACUGGGCGUAAAGAGCGUGUAGGCGGCUGGCCAAGCGUGAUGUGAAAUCUUCGGGCUUAACCCGAAAACUGCAUUGCGAACUGGUCUGGCUAGAGUGUGUGAGAGGGUGGUGGAAUUCCCGGUGUAGUGGUGAAAUGCGUAGAGAUCGGGAGGAACACCCGUGGCGAAGGCGGCCACCUGGGCCGACCCUGACGCUGAGGCGCGAAGGCGUGGGGAGCGAACGGG
rnacentral:rRNA from 1 species